rnacentral:tRNA from 1 species
UACGUUUAUACAAUAGUAUAGUGCCUAGAAAGUACAAAUAUGUUAUACAUAGAGUACCC